rnacentral:rRNA from 1 species
UACGAAGGGGGCUAGCGUUGCUCGGAAUUACUGGGCGUAAAGCGUGCGUAGGCGGUUCGCUGUGUCCGAUGUGAAAGCCCCGGGCUUAACCUGGGAAUGGCAUUGGAAACUGGCGGGCUUGAGUGCGGCAGAGGGGGGUGGAAUUCCGCGUGUAGCAGUGAAAUGCGUAGAGAUGCGGAGGAACACCGAUGGCGAAGGCAGCCCCCUGGGUCGACACUGACGCCUCAGGCACGAAAGCGUGGGGAGCAAACAGG